rnacentral:rRNA from 1 species
GUGAGGAAUAUUGGACAAUGGGCGCAAGCCUGAUCCAGCCAUGCCGCGUGCAGGAAGACGCAUCUAUGGUGUGUAAACUGCUUUUGUACGGGAAGAAACACUCCCUCGUGAGGGAGCUUGACGGUACCGUAAGAAUAAGGAUCGGCUAACUCCGUGCCAGCAGCCGCGGUAAUACGGAGGAUCCAAGCGUUAUCCGGAAUCAUUGGGUUUAAAGGGUCCGUAGGCGGUUUAAUAAGUCAGUGGUGAAAGCCCAUCGCUCAACGAUGGAACGGCUAUUGAUACUGUUAGACUUGAAUUACAAGGAAGUAACUAGAAUAUGUAGUGUAGCGGUGAAAUGCUUAGAUAUUACAUGGAAUACCAAUUGCGAAGGCAGGUUACUACUUGUGGAUUGACGCUGAUGGACGAAAGCGUGGGGAGCAAACAGGAUUAGAAACCCUUGUAGUCC